AUUGAACGCUGGCGGCAGGCUUAACACAUGCAAGUCGAGCGAGCGGCGGACGGGUGAGUAAUGUCUGGGAAACUGCCUGAUGGAGGGGGAUAACUAAUGGAAACGGUAGCUAAUACCGCAUACCAUCAGAUGUGCCCAGAUGGGCUUAGCUAGUAGGUGGGGUAAUGGCUCACCUAGGCGACGAUCCCUAGCUGUUCUGAGAGGAUGACCACCCACACUGUAACUGAGACACGGUCCAGCAUCCUACGUGAGGCAGCACUGGGGAAUAUUGCACAAUGGGCGCAAGCCUGAUGCAGCCAUGCCGCGUGUGUGAAGAAGGCCUUCGGGUUGUAAAGCACUUUCAGCGAGGAGGCGUUACGCGCAGAAGAAGCACCGGCUAACUCCGUGCCAGCCGCCGCGGUAAUUC
rnacentral:rRNA from 1 species